GGCAUGAGAGAUGCUUUAACUCUUAUUUCGCCAACCUGGCGCCCCCUCCAGUUGUAUUGCCAUAAUGUUAUCAAGCUUAAACUUAUGUGAAGGAUAGGCUGCCUGCCGGUCCCCCUUUCCCAUUUGCUGCCUGUUUGGCUCAUUUUUCUCAGGUUGGAAGAGGCUGCGCGGGCUGCAGAAGGCGCUUUUCAGCGAGUCAAGCGCGCGCGCGCGCACACACACACACACGCUCCGGGCCGUGCUGAUGGGAGCGGGGUGAGGUUUCGCGCCUUUGGAGCACAGCAGCGCGCGAGAGCGGCAGGCAGGUAGUAGGCGGAGCGCUCCGAAGGGCCGCUUGGCGCGUUGUUUUCCCACAGAACGAAGCGCUUUCCCGGUGCUCAGCAACACUUGGCUGAAAACGCUGAAGAGCGUGCGUUCUCCGUUCCGUAAGCCCCUCUUCGCGCGGGAGGCAGUGCUGUCCUCGCGCCUCGUCCUUCGUUUUUCCCGCCAAAAAGAUGAGCGAGCGAGGGGGGCGGCGGCUCGAGCGCGGUGGUGCAUGCCUGAGCGCGCGCCCUUUUGACCACCUAAUCCUACACGCACACACGCUUGCGCAAAGCCUUCACUCGUUUAAGCUCGCCUAUUUGGUUGUUUGGUUAGAGCGCAUUGGCGCCUCAUCACUACGGCACAGCGUCACUUCCUCCCCGCUGCCUCGGAGUAGCGUGUGAGUUGUUUGGUGGACGCUGUCAGUGUACAGUCGCCGCACUUUUUUUUUUAAGAGCCUGAGAAAAGAGGCUGCCCACGCAUGCCUCUCUGAAUGCACGCGGGAGGCGCGCAAAACGUUAACCCACGCGCCCUGUUGAUUCGCCCAGUGUUACUAGACAGAGUUCAGAACAGGGAUAGCGAACCCGAUCUGUUUGGACUCCUAGUCCCAUGAGCCCCAGUCCGCAUUAUCAGUGGCCAGGAAUGGUGGCAGUUGUGCUUCACCCGUAUCUGGAGGACCAGAGGUUCCCCAUCUCUGCUUCAGGAACACGUAUCCAGGGAAUAAAAAGCUGCAACAGAUGCUUUUCUCUGACUUGUGCAAACUAAUUGUAUUAAAUGUUUGCAUAUCGCUCUCAAGCAUUCAAAGCGCUUCACGCUUUGCGACCCUUACAAGUAAGAAUUAUUUUCCCCCGUGUUGCAUGAGGGGAAACUGCUUAGGUUAAAGUUAGCAUAAAUUCAGAGCAGAGAAGAUUUGAACACUGACUUCCUGGUUCAAAACUUGACAGCCUCUAUGCAAGUAAACCCAUAACGUAGCCUUCAGCAACUGCUCAGGCUACCCUCUUUGUGCGGGGGGAGCACCUUAGGUGAGCAUUUCGCGCAUCCACACCAUCAGGAUGCUUGCGCAAAUUUAGCAAUCUGGCACCGAAUGGGGGCAUUUUACAACUCAUCCCUCUUUCGUUUUCUUAAAAGUCCGUUUCUAGUCCUCAAGGGUGUCGGGUAUGUUCUCUCUCGAAAGUACAGAAAUAAUUUUGGCCGGGAGACGACUUGGCGCAUCCGCUCGGCCUCCCAGGAGAGCACCCUUCACCUUCUCUGCAGUCAGUUCAGCAAGCUGCCGCCUCAAAUGCUGCCAAAGCGCCACAUGAAAGACAGGAGAAACAUAAACACCAAGCACACCCCUCUCCAAUGGAGGAGAUGAAUGUGUGCCGGUGUGCACGCCUAUACUGUGACCUGUGCGAUCAUGACAUCUGAGGUAUUAGCCUACUACCCUUAGACACCCCCCCAACCCAUCCGCAGCAACCUCAAGCUGUUCUUCACCUGCUCCACAACAUGAGCCGGCCCUGCGGUCCCUGCACCAGGUUGAAACUAUUGGGGACACGGCACUGAAGCCGCCACUGCUUGAUAUGUGCCGAUUACAGUAUUUAGGAGCAGAAGGCAUCGCCCUGGGGAAAGCCCAGACCAAAACGAGCUCCUUUCUUUGCACGGCUCCGUUUGUUGUCCCUCGCGGCUGUCUCUGUGUGGAAAGGGCGGCCUUUUUUCCCGCGCCCGAGAGAGGCUUCCUCUCUUUUCCAAGUGCCUCAGGCAGUUACAACAGGCGGCAAAAGCGCAACUUAUAUAAUCUAGGAUGAGAGAAACGUCGCCCACCCUGGGCGCACUGGAGACGGGACGCGCCAAUACAGACACCACACCGGUGGAAGGCGCUAUCGGCAUGGGACAGGCCGCGGCCCUCCUACAGCGGGCGGGUAAGUGAAUGGCUCCUCUGCCUCGUUGGCUCUCAGAGCGCGACCCCCCC